UAUAUAAAUGAAUCAAACUCUUAUUAAAUGAAACCCCUACAAAAAUAUAUUUAAAAUGAGAGAGAAGACAUGAAGUACUACUAAUUAAAAACACACAUAGCAUAAAGGAUUACCAAUGAAUCUGCCAUCCAGACUCCAUAGAACACAAGUAAUAGAUGUUGUUAUUUCUUCAGUCAAUAGCAAAAAUCCACUUAGUUGAAAGCAGAGAUUAAGGGCAAAAAUAACAAGUCAUAAAUAGAUGUUGUUAUUUCUUCAGUCACACCUUGUAUAUCUCCUUCUAGAAGACUCUGAUCUCUUUAGGUGAAACGCACCGUCUUGGACCAUCACGUGCACUCAUGUGACAUAAGACUUGAGACUUGAGACCCUCUGCUUCCAAUAGAGGCUUCUUCUUAAGUUUCUUUCAAGUUGGCUCACACUCAAUAAAUCUCCACCUUGAGACAAUCCUUGAAAGACUCUUUAUGACUUGUGAGAUGUCCAUAAGAGAGGGAAAGAUGAACCUUAAGCUUUGGUGAAAGUUUAGACAUCUCCCAUGGCAUGAAUGACUUCGAAGCCACUUCUUUAAGGACAGAAAAGUCUCACAAUGUGACUACAAUGCUUGCAGAAUCGACUGAUGGAAUAUAGAUAAACAAAAGAUCAAAUGACCAAAUUAUGUUAAGAGAAACUAAGCUCAGGAUUUUGUAAGUUGUGAAGUUUACACACCAAGAAGUAAUGCUUAGAAUUCUUCCUAAAUUUUGUAAAAUCCUUUCUG
rnacentral:sRNA from 1 species